UACGUAGGGCGCAAGCGUUAUCCGGAAUUAUUGGGCGUAAAGAGCUCGUAGGCGGUUCGGUAAGUCGGGUGUGAAACCUCCAGGCUCAACCUGGAGACGCCACCCGAUACUGCUGUGACUCGAGUCCGGUAGGGGAGCGUGGAAUUCCUGGUGUAGCGGUGAAAUGCGCAGAUAUCAGGAGGAACACCAGCGGCGAAGGCGGCGCUCUGGGCCGGAACUGACGCUGAGGAGCGAAAGCGUGGGUAGCGAACAGG
rnacentral:rRNA from 1 species